GUUUGCGGCGGGCUUAACACAUGCAAGUCGAACGAGAAUCCCUUCGGGGAGGAAAGUGGCGCACGGGUGCGUAACACGUGGAUGACCUACCCCUUGGUUCGGGACAACAGCGGGAAACUGCUGCUAAUACCGGAUGUGUCGUAGCAAUACGAGAAAGGCCCGCAAGGGUCGCCAGAGGACGGGUCCGCGUCCCAUCAGCUAGUUGGUGAGGUAAUGGCUCACCAAGGCGAAGACGGGUAGCUGGUCUGAGAGGAUGAUCAGCCACACUGGAACUGAGACACGGUCCAGACUCCUACGGGAGGCAGCAGUGGGGAAUAUUGCGCAAUGGGCGAAAGCCUGACGCAGCCACGCCGCGUGAGCGAUGAAGGUCUUCGGAUCGUAAAGCUCUGUGGGGGGAGAAGAAGAAAGUCGGUGAAGAGCCGGCCUGACGGUAUCCCCUUAGCAAGCACCGGCUAACUCCGUGCCAGCAGCCGCGGUAAUACGGAGGGUGCAAACGUUGCUCGGAAUCAUUGGGCGUAAAGCGCG
rnacentral:rRNA from 1 species